rnacentral:lncRNA from 1 species
CUCUCUUCUGCUCCCCCAGCUACCGGCGGCGCUGGUUCCAGCUCCCUCCCUCUCGCUUUGGCCUGCACUUGACUGACAACAAAACAACUAUGCAACACCCUUCCCUGCAGCAGCUGCAACAGUGUGUCCUGGGCGCAUUUUGUGCCUCUCCAGCUGUGUGUAGCUUGUUUUAGGAAGGAAGCAAAACAGAGAUCUCAUCAUCUAUUCCUAGCCAAGGUCACAGCUGGGAGCUGUACCGGUUCUGUGGGCGACGCCCCAAGGGAAGCACUAAUGAUUGGAGCAAAGGGUCCUCACAGAAGCAAUCAGCUUGGUGACUUUCUCUCUGGUCCUCCUGAGACUGCUCAAUGAUAGGAGAAAAGGCCCAGGUCUCCACGGUCUCUGUCUUGUUUUCUACUCCUUC